rnacentral:tRNA from 1 species
UUUUUUUGCAACUCCGGAAAGAGAGGG